AUUGAACGCUGGCGGCAGGCCUAACACAUGCAAGUCGAGCGGAUGAAGGGAGCUUGCUCCUGGAUUCAGCGGCGGACGGGUGGGUAAUGCCUAGGAAUCUGCCUGGUAGUGGGGGAUAACGUCCGGAAACGGGCGCUAAUACCGCAUACGUCCUGAGGGAGAAAGUGGGGGAUCUUCGGACCUCACGCUAUCAGAUGAGCCUAGGUCGGAUUAGCUAGUUGGUGGGGUAAAGGCCUACCAAGGCGACGAUCCGUAACUGGUCUGAGAGGAUGAUCAGUCACACUGGAACCGAGACACGGUCCAGACUCCUACGGGAGGCAGCAGUGGGGAAUAUUGGACAAUGGGCGAAAGCCUGAUCCAGCCAUGCCGCGUGUGUGAAGAAGGUCUUCGGAUUGUAAAGCACUUUAAGUUGGGAGGAAGGGCAGUAAGUUAAUACCUUGCUGUUUUGACGUUACCAACAGAAUAAGCACCGGCUAACUUCGUG
rnacentral:rRNA from 1 species